UUCGGGCACUCUUAACCGAAUCGGAUAGCGGUAUACUGUUCGCUUGGCAGACAAGCUUUUUGGUAACGGAACGUAAAAUAUGGGAAUGUACGGCACGACAGUUUCUUUCCGCUCCUCAGAGCUCGUCGACCCCAACCCUGGCCUCUUCCUCAUGUCUUCUUCUUUAGAAGCAGCUGGGCCAGGUCAUCUCAGUCCUACGGGAGGCAGCAGUGAGGAAUAUUGCGCAAUGGGGGCAACCCUGACGCAGCAACGCCGCGUGAGUGAGGAAGGUUUUCGGAUUGUAAAGCUCUGUCGAGCGGAAAGAAAUAUAUGGUGGCUAAAUAUUCACCAUAUUGGACGGAACCGUAGAGGAAGCCCAC
rnacentral:rRNA from 1 species